ACAGGGAGGGUGCCCGGCCGCGCUCCGCCUCGGGCAGCGGCGCCCGGGGAAGCUGCGGCCGGGGCGGCCCGGGGGCCUCGGCCGCUGCCGGGCGGGAUGUGCCGAGAACCGGCUUCCAGGCUGGUGCGGCGCCCGGCCCUGAGCCCGAGCAAAGGGCUCCGUUGAGCGGGGACGCCUCCCUGCCGGAACCGCAAGCCCCGAGACAGCCCCGCUCCGGGCAGCGCCUGCGGGCGGCGAGCGGCGUCUGGCGCUGCCGGAGGCAGCCGGGCCCCUCGGGUUACUGAGGGAUACCCGCCGCCCGUCCUUGGGGCUGCUCCGUGGUUUCCUCUAUCGCUGUGCAUAAACUACUUAAACUAGUUAACGGAGUGGCUGAGAACAGGCGUGGCUAUCUCAAGAGUUUUUGUCUGCGUCCAGGGCUUUUAAUACCAGUUUUGUAAGAUAGUCGUGCCUAGCUUUUAAAUUAAGAAGUUGCUCCAGCUGAGUUUAACAUCUCAACACCUGCUAAAAUCCUGUAACUUUAAAAUACUGCACUAAUAUUGCAUGCUCUGUACAGUUUGCAUUGCACAGUAGUAACGCUGGCUGGCGAGGAGGUCUGAGGGGUUCUGGAGCUCCAAACUGAUGGAAGGCUCACAGCAAGUCAGUUUCCACCUUCCUGACUGCACAGUGGCGAUCUCAUUCCAUUCUUCUCAUUUGCCAGUUCUUACAGUUUGGGGUUGUUUGUGUGGCUGCAAGGUAAAAGAGUAAUUAUGAACCUGAUAAACCGAAGUGGCAUUUAUGGGAUGGAAGUGUUUUUGUUAGGCAGACUACAUGGUGAAGAGGUGUAGAUUCCUUCAGAAAAUGUAUCAUUUCAGCACAGGAAGUCAGAGCUGCAGUAGGAGUUUGCAGGCUGUCUCUGAUAAAAGCUGGCAUUCUUGUGUGUGUUUUUCAAGCUUAUAAAAAUUUUAAGAUGUGUCUGCAUUAUUGACUUUGCUGACAAAGUUGUGAAACUGCCCAGCUAAUAAAUGCAAACAGCAUCAGGUAUCAGUUAAUCAGAGAGAUGACGGACUGAUACUGCACAGUCUUUAUGUAACAACUGUAACAAGUUCCAACCCUAUUGUCUACUGCAGGACUGGACUAUGCUUAGAUGUGUAGUGAUUGUCUAUCUAUAAAGCGUAAUGAGUGUGUCUGGAAUGAAGGAAGAAACUUGACUUGGCUGCAAAAUUUCAUGGAUCUUUCUGGAUUACGUUUCAGAUUCCCAUUGGAUUUUGCUGCUGCAUCUCCUCUGAUGGCUAUAAUCAUGACUGCAUGGUCACUUGGAUGGAUUAAGGGUCACCAAAGGAGAGGUUUGGGCCUUUCCUGUCUUACCUAGUGACAUACUACUACUGAUGUGACAACACUAGCACUUGCACAGUUGUGUAUUGUGCUGUACCUCACAGUAACCACCGGAGAGGAUGCAGGUGGUAGUUCUCCUUUUAUAGUGACAAACAGUGAUACUCACCUGACGUGACUGACUGUUGAAUCGUAUCUGAAGUCACCAAUGACCUAUUUACAUUUAAACUAGUUAGCUUUCUACUUCCAAGUGGCAGAUAAGCCACUAUCUCUGAAGUGCAUCUACUAGUUAUCUCUUUGCAUCUGCACAGUGAAAGUUUCUAGAAGUGGUAUCUGCCUGUAGGUAUCUACUAAUAGUGCAGCUGUAUCCUACUGGGUGAAAAAAAAAACAGUUAAUGUGAAUUUUCUAGUUCUUGGGUACCUGUGUGCCAAGUUUUUUCUUUCUGCAUCCUGAUUAUAUAAACCAUGUCAACUGUAUAGAACAACCUUCAUUAGCACAUUGAGAUUAUUUUUUAUGAUGAGCCACUGGAAAAAUAACAAUACUAUACCAUUUUAUUUCAUUACUAAUAAAAAAUUGCAGAAUCAAAAGUGUGGUCUCUUCAGUCAUGUAGUUUUGCUUGUCUACAGUUGUACUGAAAACUGUUUUGCUAAGAAUAUACUUAAUUUUUGUUAGGAAGAAACAACUGAUCCAACUGUUGGUAUUUUAAAAUAAUGGGAGCAUUAUUCUGGACACUGGAGAAAAUUAUUGAACAUCUGUCAAACAAACUUUGUCAAUGGAUUCAGGGCUGUUGCUACAGGUGUGGGGGAAGUGAUAGGGAUUUUGCACAUUCCUGCACUUACUUGUAUAUAUUUGUACAUAUUUAUUGUAUCAUUAGUAUUUAAUUAAAGCUGUCUAGUUUGGUUUUUGA